rnacentral:rRNA from 1 species
AUUGAACGCUGGCGGCAGGCCUAACACAUGCACGUCGAGCGGAGCGGCGGAAGGGUGAGUAAUGCCUAGGAAUCUGCCAGGUAGUGGGGGAUAACGUCCGGAAACGGGCUAUAAUACAGAAUAAUAACAGAUGAGACUAGGUCGGAUUAGCUAGUUGGUGGGGUAAAGGCCUACCAAUGCGACGAUCCGUAACUGGUCUGCGAGGAUGAACAGUCACACGGGAACUGAGACACGGUCCAGACUCCUACGGGGGGCAGCAGUGGGGAAGAUUGGACAAUGGGCGAAAGCCUGAUCCAGCCAUGCCGCGUGUGUGAAGAAGGUCUUCGGAUUGUAAAGCACUUUAAGUUGGGAGGCGUUACCAACAGAAUAAGCACCGGCUAACUUCGUGCCAGCCGCCGCGGUAAUAC